UACAUGCAAAUGUAUAUGAAUGUAUGCGUUUUUGCAUGAAUGUAGAUGUUUGUUUAAGUGAAAGUGUAAAUGCGUGUCUACUUGAGUAAAUAUGUGUAUGUGUGUAUUAAUUGGUGCAUUCCGUUCUUUUUUUUCAGGACCUUGAGUUUUACGUAAAAACUUGGGUGCAGGGGUACACUGACUACGGGAAUCGGAAGACAGGCGGCGGGCGCUACCUUCUAGGGGAGCGCGGCGAAGUCCACUUCCCGGUUAUAUGCCCUUAUGAUGGUUAUAUAACUCGGAACUCGCGUAGGAAUGUGGCCUGCUAUGCAGCGAACAGACGACGAGAGAUUGAUCCUGAUUAUUUUGGAGAUAUUCUCAUGGCAAAGCGUGAGAGCGUAUCGUACAAUGGGAUGAGAAUUAGUUUCUUUAAACCCAAAUGUCCCUGGGAAAGUACAUGCUAUGCAUCGUACCAUACAUGAUGGUGGUUUAUUCCGGUUCAAGACGACCAGCGUAUCUGCCAUCGAGUGUUAAGCAUAAGGAUACUGAGGAAACACCGAUAGUUACCAUGCUACGGUGCGACGUGUAAGAGGACUGCACGUCACGCCAAAGAAUGUUGCAGUGUCGUUACCACGGAAACUUUAUGUUGUUCGAGGUUAAGACAAGCGCCUCAGA